rnacentral:lncRNA from 1 species
AUCUACAUAUUGUUCUUUUUUUCCAAUUCCUUCCUACUCAGAGUAGUUUGUUGUCUGUAGAGCUGUUCAGGAAGCGUUAAAACUCAUCGUUAGGGCUUUUAACUUUCUUUCUAAGUGUCUUAGACCUUAUCUCUAAUGUCCCACACAGCAAACAUUGAUUUAGGCUGUUAUGCUUCUUGUAAGCAUUAUUACUUAUUAAUUUUACCAGUUCAUUAAGGAUAAUCUCAAAUGCCAUCCUCUCACAAUAGCCUUUUAUGAGAUCAUCUGCUAAUAUAAUUUUCCCCUCAGUUGAGAUAACUUCUACCCAUUGAUAGUGGGUCUAACCAAUAGAGGGCUACACAUGUCAGCAGGAUUUCAGAGAAACCUACUGGAGACCACUUGGAAUCUACUUUGAACUGGCACUUGAUACCACGUGGGCCCCUGGAGCCCCUCUGGCUUCCUGGCACUCUUCAGGUGUCCACGAUGGUAUAAUUUCUAAAGGAGCUCUACUUAAUUGACUUAAAGUAAUGAAAGAGUUCCUACAGGUUCAAGAAAUCACCGCAGAAGAAAAGAAACAAAGGCGGCAACAAAAAGGGGGAAUUUUUGACACCACCAUACAGAUUUGGUUCCAGCCUGAUAACCAACUGUAGUGCCUAUUGGAGCACAAUUGCCACUGCUCUGACAGAUGCAUCAAUUGCCCAUUGGGCACCUGAAAAGAUGAUUUUUUGGGGAAAACAAUAUUCUUGGAAAUUUUCUCCCACAGUGGUUGAUAAAGCAUAUGCUCGUUGUGUUAUAUGUCCUAAAUAUAAUCCUGGGAAAACACUUCAUGGGUUUCAAGGUUACCUUUCCUUUCCUAAGGGACCCAUUGAGGUGUAGCAAUUGACCUUUGUUCAAACGCUACCACCUCAAGGAUAUAAAUAUCUUAGUAGUGAUCUGUGUGUUCUCACAUUGGGUUGAGGCCUUUCCUUGUGGAAGAGUGAUGGCUUUGGUAGUAGGUAAGUUAUUGGGAAGGACAAUUCCUGUUUAGGGAAUUCCUACUGAGUUCUUCAGUGACUAGGGAGCUCAUCCCACCAGACAAAGGAUUAAAUCCAUUUGUGGCAUUUGGC